rnacentral:rRNA from 1 species
UACGAGGGGAGCAAGCGUUUGUUCGGAUUUACUGGGCGUAAAGGGCGCGUAGGCGGCGUGACAAGUCACUUGUGAAAUCUCCGGGCUUAACUCGGAACGGUCAAGUGAUACUGUCGUGCUAGAGUACAGAAGGGGCAACUGGAAUUCUCGGUGUAGCGGUGAAAUGCGUAGAUAUCGAGAGGAACACCUGCGGCGAAGGCAGCUACCUGGACCGGUUCUGACGCUGAUGCGCGAAAGCGUGGGUAGCAAACAGGA